UACGAAGGGGGCUAGCGUUGCUCGGAAUUACUGGGCGUAAAGCGCACGUAGGCGGUCUUUUAAGUCGGGGGUGAAAUCCUGGAGCUCAACUCCAGAACUGCCUUGAUACUGAGAUCUCGAGUCGGGAGAGGUGAGUGGAACUGCGAGUGUAGAGGUGAAAUUCGUAGAUAUUCGCAAGAACACCAGUGGCGAAGGCGGCUCACUG
rnacentral:rRNA from 1 species